UUUAAUGAAAUGGCGGUCGGAUUCACCUUAGUUGUAUAUUCCAAGGUGGAGAUGUGACCAAACCCCAAGUAUAUGUAUUGAGGUAGAUCGGAUUUGAUAUUACCCGAAAGUAGAGAGUGGCUAAUUCCUGAGUGUAUGAAUCAGGAUUAACCGAGUUUAAUAUGUUUUCACUCUAGUUAUAUGUGCUAGGGUGAAGAUCUGACUAAGCCCUAAGGUAUUGCGUUAGGGUUUGUCGGAUUUGAUUCGUAUGAGCUCCAAGUAUAUGUAUUAGAGCUCGAUCGGGUAUGGAUUUCACUCUAGGUAUAUGUGCUAGAGCAAACGGCUGACUAGACCCUAAGUAUAUGGGUUAGGACUAGUCGAGCACGGAUUGACUUUCACUCUAGGUAUAUGUGCUAGAGCAAAAGGCUGACUAGACCCUAAGCAUAUGUGUUAGGACAAGUCGAGUAUGGUUUGACUUCCACUCUAAAU
rnacentral:lncRNA from 1 species